UUGGGCAGAUGGAGGGAAAGGCAGAAAUAGAACCCUCUCUUAUACUUCUGGCUCCUAAUAUGGAAACAGAAUACAGUACACCAUAUAUCCAUGAUAUACACGAGAGAACUGAAUGAACCAAUGUGAAUAUGAGGUACACACCUAUUGCUAUGCCUCUGGAGCAAACUGUUUUCAAAAAAAGGAAUAUUUUCUUUAAAAAUCCAAAGAACUUUCAGAGACUGGACACCAUUCUUUAACCAGGCAGUAGUACAGACAAGUGAAUAUAUUGUCUCUUUUAACAGAGAGACUCUGGUUACUAACUUAUGGAACAGACUGAAAAUAGGAAACAAAACACUGAACACAGGAGAGAAAUUCACAGUUCUAGUGAAAUGAUGGCAGGAAACAAAAGUAAGUACACAACUUCAUUUUUCUCACAUUCUAAAAUGAAACUUCCAAAAGUUGUGACAGAAGUAAGCAUGAAAGUUUCCAUUUUACGUAGAAGAGACCUUUAAAAUCAGUCAUUCUGAGCUUCUGAAGAUGUAUUGAUUUGGCAUACUUGAAAAGUAUUUACAGGAAAAUAUGAAGCAUUGUCUUAGACUAGACUCAAACAAUAAGCAGGAAACACACACACAGCUGCAGAUUAAGGAGCACUAUAUAAAUGGACACCAGCAAUAAUUUCUUUACCUACUGAAGAUUCUGGUUUUCCAAGAGCAGAGAGAGUUUGUGUCUUCUGUAUUUCUGUGUCUUCAAUUCUUUGACACCAUUUUAUUGGUAUUAAAGACCAUUAGGGGUUUGUUCCCUUCUGACAAUCUAUCAAAAGACCUAUUAAUAAUCCACAAACCACAAGAAACUCAAGAAGGAAGACCAAAGUGUGGAUACUUUGAUCUUUCUCAGAAAAGAGAACAAAAUACCCA